AGAGUUUGAUCCUGGCUCAGGACGAGCGCUGGCGGCGCGCCUAACACAUGCAAGUCGAACGAGCAAGAGAGAGCUUGCUUUCUCGAGCGAGUGGCGAACGGGUGAGUAACGCGUGAGGAACCUGCCUCAAAGAGGGGGACAACAGUUGGAAACGACUGCUAAUACCGCAUAAGCCCACGACCCGGCAUCGGGAAGAGGGAAAAGGAGCAAUCCGCUUUGAGAUGGCCUCGCGUCCGAUUAGCUAGUUGGUGAGGUAACGGCCACCAAGGCGACGAUCGGUAGCCGGACUGAGAGGUUGAACGGCCACAUUGGGACUGAGACACGGCCCAGACUCCUACGGAGGCA
rnacentral:rRNA from 1 species